rnacentral:rRNA from 1 species
GGUUAAGCGACUAAGCGUACACGGUGGAUGCCCUGGCAGUCAGAGGCGAUGAAGGACGUGCUAAUCUGCGAUAAGCGUCGGUAAGGUGAUAUGAACCGUUAUAACCGGCGAUUUCCGAAUGGGGAAACCCAGUGUGAUUCGUCACACUAUCAUUAACUGAAUCCAUAGGUUAAUGAGGCGAACCGGGGGAACUGAAACAUCUAAGUACCCCGAGGAAAAGAAAUCAACCGAGAUUCCCCCAGUAGCGGCGAGCGAACGGGGAGGAGCCCAGAGCCUGAAUCAGUGUGUGUGUUAGUGGAAGCGUCUGGAAAGGCGCGCGAUACAGGGUGACAGCCCCGUACACAAAAAUGCACAUACUGUGAGCUCGAUGAGUAGGGCGGGACACGUGGUAUCCUGUCUGAAUAUGGGGGGACCAUCCUCCAAGGCUAAAUACUCCUGACUGACCGAUAGUGAACCAGUACCGUGAGGGAAAGGCGAAAAGAACCCCGGCGAGGGGAGUGAAAAAGAACCUGAAACCGUGUACGUACAAGCAGUGGGAGCCUCUUUAUGGGGUGACUGCGUACCUUUUGUAUAAUGGGUCAGCGACUUAUAUUCUGUAGCAAGGUUAACCGAAUAGGGGAGCCGAAGGGAAACCGAGUCUUAACUGGGCGUUAAGUUGCAGGGUAUAGACCCGAAACCCGGUGAUCUAGCCAUGGGCAGGUUGAAGGUUGGGUAACACUAACUGGAGGACCGAACCGACUAAUGUUGAAAAAUUAGCGGAUGACUUGUGGCUGGGGGUGAAAGGCCAAUCAAACCGGGAGAUAGCUGGUUCUCCCCGAAAGCUAUUUAGGUAGCGCCUCGUGAAUUCAUCUCCGGGGGUAGAGCACUGUUUCGGCAAGGGGGUCAUCCCGACUUACCAACCCGAUGCAAACUGCGAAUACCGGAGAAUGUUAUCACGGGAGACACACGGCGGGUGCUAACGUCCGUCGUGAAGAGGGAAACAACCCAGACCGCCAGCUAAGGUCCCAAAGUCAUGGUUAAGUGGGAAACGAUGUGGGAAGGCCCAGACAGCCAGGAUGUUGGCUUAGAAGCAGCCAUCAUUUAAAGAAAGCGUAAUAGCUCACUGGUCGAGUCGGCCUGCGCGGAAGAUGUAACGGGGCUAAACCAUGCACCGAAGCUGCGGCAGCGACACUAUGUGUUGUUGGGUAGGGGAGCGUUCUGUAAGCCUGUGAAGGUGUACUGUGAGGUAUGCUGGAGGUAUCAGAAGUGCGAAUGCUGACAUAAGUAACGAUAAAGCGGGUGAAAAGCCCGCUCGCCGGAAGACCAAGGGUUCCUGUCCAACGUUAAUCGGGGCAGGGUGAGUCGACCCCUAAGGCGAGGCCGAAAGGCGUAGUCGAUGGGAAACAGGUUAAUAUUCCUGUACUUGGUGUUACUGCGAAGGGGGGACGGAGAAGGCUAUGUUGGCCGGGCGACGGUUGUCCCGGUUUAAGCGUGUAGGCUGGUUUUCCAGGCAAAUCCGGAAAAUCAAGGCUGAGGCGUGAUGACGAGGCACUACGGUGCUGAAGCAACAAAUGCCCUGCUUCCAGGAAAAGCCUCUAAGCAUCAGGUAACAUCAAAUCGUACCCCAAACCGACACAGGUGGUCAGGUAGAGAAUACCAAGGCGCUUGAGAGAACUCGGGUGAAGGAACUAGGCAAAAUGGUGCCGUAACUUCGGGAGAAGGCACGCUGAUAUGUAGGUGAAGCGACUUGCUCGUGGAGCUGAAAUCAGUCGAAGAUACCAGCUGGCUGCAACUGUUUAUUAAAAACACAGCACUGUGCAAACACGAAAGUGGACGUAUACGGUGUGACGCCUGCCCGGUGCCGGAAGGUUAAUUGAUGGGGUUAGCGGUAACGCGAAGCUCUUGAUCGAAGCCCCGGUAAACGGCGGCCGUAACUAUAACGGUCCUAAGGUAGCGAAAUUCCUUGUCGGGUAAGUUCCGACCUGCACGAAUGGCGUAAUGAUGGCCAGGCUGUCUCCACCCGAGACUCAGUGAAAUUGAACUCGCUGUGAAGAUGCAGUGUACCCGCGGCAAGACGGAAAGACCCCGUGAACCUUUACUAUAGCUUGACACUGAACAUUGAGCCUUGAUGUGUAGGAUAGGUGGGAGGCUUUGAAGUGUGGACGCCAGUCUGCAUGGAGCCGGCCUUGAAAUACCACCCUUUAAUGUUUGAUGUUCUAACGUUGGCCCCUGACCGGGGUUGCGGACAGUGUCUGGUGGGUAGUUUGACUGGGGCGGUCUCCUCCUAAAGAGUAACGGAGGAGCACGAAGGUUGGCUAAUCCUGGUCGGACAUCAGGAGGUUAGUGCAAUGGCAUAAGCCAGCUUGACUGCGAGCGUGACGGCGCGAGCAGGUGCGAAAGCAGGUCAUAGUGAUCCGGUGGUUCUGAAUGGAAGGGCCAUCGCUCAACGGAUAAAAGGUACUCCGGGGAUAACAGGCUGAUACCGCCCAAGAGUUCAUAUCGACGGCGGUGUUUGGCACCUCGAUGUCGGCUCAUCACAUCCUGGGGCUGAAGUAGGUCCCAAGGGUAUGGCUGUUCGCCAUUUAAAGUGGUACGCGAGCUGGGUUUAGAACGUCGUGAGACAGUUCGGUCCCUAUCUGCCGUGGGCGCUGGAGAACUGAGGGGGGCUGCUCCUAGUACGAGAGGACCGGAGUGGACGCAUCACUGGUGUUCGGGUUGUCAUGCCAAUGGCACUGCCCGGUAGCUAAAUGCGGAAGAGAUAAGUGCUGAAAGCAUCUAAGCACGAAACUUGCCCCGAGAUGAGUUCUCCCUGACUCCUUGAGAGUCCUGAAGGAACGUUGAAGACGACGACGUUGAUAGGCCGGGUGUGUAAGCGCAGCGAUGCGUUGAGCUAACCGGUACUAAUGAACCGUGAGGCUUAACCUU